UAGGGAAUCUUCCACAAUGGGCGCAAGCCUGAUGGAGCAACACCGCGUGAGUGAAGAAGGGUUUCGGCUCGUAAAGCCCUGUUGUUGGAGAAGAACGUGCGUGAGAGUAACUGUUCACGCUUCGACGGUAUCCAACCAGAAAGCCCCUGCUAACUACGUACCAUCAACCGCGGUAAUACGUAGGUGGCAAGCGUUAUCCGGAUUUAUUGGGCGUAAAGCGAGCGCAGGCGGUUGCUUAGGUCUGAUGUGAAAGCCUUCGGCUUAACCGAAGAAGUGCAUCGGAAACCGGGCGACUUGAGUGCAGAAGAGGACAGUGGAACUCCAUGUGUAGCGGUGGAAUGCGUAGAUAUAUGGAAGAACACCAGUGGCGAAGGCGGCUGUCUGGUCUGCAACUGACGCUGAGGCUCGAAAGCAUGGGUAGCGAACAGG
rnacentral:rRNA from 1 species